rnacentral:misc_RNA from 1 species
GAUGAAGAACGUAGCGAAAUGCGAUAAGUAAUGUGAAUUGCAGAAUUCAGUGAAUCAUCGAAUCUUUGAACGCACCUUGCACCCUUUGGCAUUCCGAAGGGUAUGCUCGUUUGAGUGUCAUUGUACUCUCACACUUCCGAUCUUUGGAUUGGGAGCGGUGGACUUGGGUGUUGCUGCUUACUGUGGCUCACCUCAAAUCGAUUCGUGCACCUCUUGGUUGGACAUAGUACGGCGUGAUAAGUGUCUUCGCCGGCACCUCAGUAGAGGGUGGCUGAUCGGGAGCUCUGCUUCAAACCGUCCUCGGACAACAACUGACAACUUGACCUCAAAUCGAGUAGGACUACCCGCUGAACUUAAGCGUAUCAAUAAGCGGAGGA